UGGGAAGUAAAAGUCGUAACAAGGUCUCCGUUGGUGAACCAGCGGAGGGAUCAUUAUCGAGUUACCGCCCUUCAACCCUUUGUGAACAUACCCAACUGUUGCUUCGGGAGUCGGGGCGCCCUCCCGGGGGCGCCCCCUAGGCCCGGCCCCUCUCGGGGCCGAGCGCCCGCCGGAGGAUCACCCAACUCUAUUUUAACGACGUUUCUCCUGAGUGGCACAAGCAAAUAAUUAAAACUUUUAACAACGGAUCUCUUGGUUCUGGCAUCGAUGAAGAAUGCAGCGAAAUGCGAUAAGUAAUGUGAAUUGCAGAAUUCAGUGAAUCAUCGAAUCUUUGAACGCACAUUUCGCCCGCCAGCAUUCUGGCGGGCAUGCCUGUUCGAGCGUCAUUUCAACCCUCAAGCCCGGCUUGGUGUGGGGGCACUACGGUCGACGUAGGCCCUUAAAGGUAGUGGCGGACCCUCCCGGAGCCUCCUUUGCGUAGUA
rnacentral:misc_RNA from 1 species